rnacentral:rRNA from 1 species
GCGUGCUUAACACAUGCAAGUCGAACGGGAAACCUUUUAUUGAAGCUUCGGCAGAUCUAACUGGUUUCUAGUGGCGGACGGGUGAGUAACGCGUGGGUAACCUGCCUUGUACAGGGGGAUAACAGUCAGAAAUGACUGCUAAUACCGCAUAAGCGCACAGGACCGCAUGGUCCGGUGUGAAAAACUCCGGUGGUAUAAGAUGGACCCGCGUUGGAUUAGCUAGUUGGCAGGGUAACGGCCUACCAAGGCGACGAUCCAUAGCCGGCCUGAGAGGGUGGACGGCCACAUUGGGACUGAGACACGGCCCAGACUCCUACGGGAGGCAGCAGUGGGGAAUAUUGCACAAUGGGGGAAACCCUGAUGCAGCGACGCCGCGUGAGCGAAGAAGUAUUUCGGUAUGUAAAGCUCUAUCAGCAGGGAAGAAAAUGACGGUACCUGACUAAGAAGCCCCGGCUAACUACGUGCCAGCAGCCGCGGUAAUACGUAGGGGGCAAGCGUUAUCCGGAUUUACUGGGUGUAAAGGGAGCGUAGACGGAAUGGCAAGUCUGAUGUGAAAGGCCGGGGCUCAACCCCGGGACUGCAUUGGAAACUGCCAAUCUAGAGUACCGGAGGGGUAAGUGGAAUUCCUAGUGUAGCGGUGAAAUGCGUAGAUAUUAGGAGGAACACCAGUGGCGAAGGCGGCUUACUGGACGGUAACUGA